rnacentral:rRNA from 1 species
AUUGAACGCUGGCGGCAGGCCUAACACAUGCAAGUCGAACGGUAACAGGAAGAAGCUUGCUUCUUUGCUGACGAGUGGCGGACGGGUGAGUAAUGUCUGGGAAACUGCCUGAUGGAGGGGGAUAACUACUGGAAACGGUAGCUAAUACCGCAUAACGUCGCAAGACCAAAGAGGGGGACCUUCUGGCCUCUUGCCAUCGGAUGUGCCCAGAUGGGAUUAGCUAGUAGGUGGGGUAACGGCUCACCUAGGCGACGAUCCCUAGCUGGUCUGAGAGGAUGACCAGCCACACUGGAACUGAGACACGGUCCAGACUCCUACGGGAGGCAGCAGUGGGGAAUAUUGCACAAUGGGCGCAAGCCUGAUGCAGCCAUGCCGCGUGUAUGAAGAAGGCCUUCGGGUUGUAAAGUACUUUCGGCGGGGAGGAAGGGAGUAAAGUUAAUACCUUUGCUCAUUGACGUUACCCGCAGAAGAAGCACCGGCUAACUCCGUG